rnacentral:rRNA from 1 species
GAUGAACGCUGGCGGCGUGCCUAAUACAUGCAAGUCGAGCGAACAGACGAGGAGCUUGCUCCUUUGACGUUAGCGGCGGACGGGUGAGUAACACGUGGAUAACCUACCUAUAAGACUGGGAUAACUUCGGGAAACCGGAGCUAAUACCGGAUAACAUGUUGAACCGCAUGGUUCAACAGUGAAAGACGGUCUUGCUGUCACUUGUAGAUGGAUCCGCGCCGCAUUAGCUAGUUGGUAAGGUAACGGCUUACCAAGGCAACGAUGCGUAGCCGACCUGAGAGGGUGAUCGGCCACACUGGAACUGAGACACGGUCCAGACUCCUACGGGAGGCAGCAGUAGGGAAUCUUCCGCAAUGGGCGAAAGCCUGACGGAGCAACGCCGCGUGAGUGAAGAAGGUCUUCGGAUCGUAAAACUCUGUUAUUAGGGAAGAACAAAUGUGUAAGUAACUAUGCACGUCUUAACGGUACCUAAUCAGAAAGCCACGGCUAACUACGUG